rnacentral:tRNA from 1 species
GCGGUCGUGGUGAAACUGGUAGACACACCAUCUUGAGGGGGUGGCGGGGCAACCCUUGCGAGUUCGAGUCUCGCCGACCGCACCA